rnacentral:rRNA from 1 species
UUGACCUCGGAUCAGGUAGGGAUACCCGCUGAACUUAAGCAUAUCAAUAAGCGGAGGAAAAGAAACCAACAGGGAUUGCCUCAGUAACGGCGAGGGAAGCGGCAACAGCUCAAAUA